GCCUGUGCUAUGGUGUCUUAACUAUAAAUUUGUCGGAGAUUUUUAACAGUAUUUUACGAGGAGCUAGAAAUGUGCCAAUUACAGCUGUGUUCAAAUGAUAUUUUAUCGUCUUAUGAAAUACUUCAAUACGAGACAUGUCCAAGCCUUGAGAUAUGUAGAGGAGAAUCUAAAUAAUCUUUUUACUCCUCAUGUUGCAAUUAAGAUUGCUGA
rnacentral:lncRNA from 1 species